CCCAUUGAAAUUUUAAAAGGCUGCAGUAUAAAUAACUGUACAAAGGUAGCAUAAUCAUUAGUUUUAUAAUUGAAAUCUAGUAUGAAAGAUUUAAUGAAAUAUAUACUAUAUAAAUAAAAAUAAAAAUUAAAAUUAAAAUUUAAGUUAAAAUUCUUAAAUAUAAUUAAAAGACGAGAAGACCCUAUAGAAUUUUAUAUAUAAUUUAAUUAAAACUACAAUAUAAUAAUUUAUUAAAUUAACUUAUAUAUUUAAUUGGGGUAAUUUUAAAAUUAAAUAAACUUUUAAAUAAUAAAACAUUAAUUAAUGAAUAAAUAAUCCUAAAAUUUAGAAUUUUAAAACAAAUUACCUUAGGGAUAACAGCGUAAA
rnacentral:rRNA from 1 species